AAGCCUAAAGUUCAAUAGAGUCCUAGGAAAUCUGAAAGCCAUAUCUAGUAGAGUACUGUCACGGCUUUCUUAGACAAACAGUGGAAGUCUGAGAGGUUAGAGGAUGUAGGUCCUAUAGAGUGGAAGGAAUUUGUCAUGGCUUUCUUAGACAAAUUCUUUCCCCAAGAGCUGAAGGAGGCAAAAGUUCUAGAGUUCAUCAACAUCAAGUAGGGAAAUAUAACGGUCAAAGAGUACUUUCU
rnacentral:lncRNA from 1 species